UGAUUGCCACGUGACAGUGGCGACUGCUGUAAGCAGCUCCCAGAGCCCGGAGCCUGCGGGCGGAGCAGAAGCAGCGUUUGUGGGCAGAAGUGCGGAGGAGCGGCUGCGUUAGUCCCACUCCUCAUGCCGAACGUGCAAGAACGGACUUAAACUUGUGGAAGCUUGGGCUCGGCUCGCGAGUCUGCACAGGCGCACUUAUGCUCCUGGCGUCUGUCUGGACUCCUAGGGCAGGGGGCGGAGCCUGUGGAUAGCCCCAGAGCUUCUAAGGGAGGUUGGACCCAGGCACGUUUGGAGUUAUUUUGUUAUUGUGAGGAAAGGCCUUGCUGGGAGCUUAAGAAGAUGCAGAGAGUGUCGAUCCACGCCCUCACCUCCCGGUUUAAAUUUAAUUCAUUCACAUGUGUUUAUCACCUAGUAGCAAACGGUUUUGCUGUGUAUUGGGUUACAGAGAUGAAAAAGAUCAUCGUUGCCCCUGAAGGAUCAGAAGAUCUAGUCGAGGAAGCAGGUGAUUGUCCACAGUCAGUAUCAGAAUUCCAAAAGAAUUUCCAUCUUUUUGAACAUGCAAGAUGAAAUUGACAUGGAAGAGAUCAUCAAGGACAUUUUCAGACAAGGCAAAAUCUGCUUCAUCCCUCAGUACCAAUUCCAGAGCAAUCACAUGGACAUGGACAUGAGAUUAGCAUCACCUGAAGAGAUCUCUUUACUUCCCCAAACAUCCUGGAAUAUUCAUCAGCCUGGUGAGGGAGAUGUUUGGGAGGAAGCCUUAUCCACAGCAUCCUGUCAGACACAAAAGUGGCCAGAGUGACAAGCCAAGAGGGAUGGAUGUCUCCAGGGCAGCAGGAUGGCCCACCAUCCCAGGACACCUGUGUACCCCAGAAGCCCCCUUCCCUACCCCCCCCCAAGCGCCAACCAACACCCACCAAGUCAACUAGAAGCAGUUUUUCCUGGGAGGAACAAUACCCCUAUUCCUGUUCACUCACUUUUUUAUAAUAAGAAAAAAGUCUGGAAUGUUAGGAUCCUGCCCUCACGCCUUGGAGUCUUGCAUCUGAUAUCAUCAGGGGGCACUGGCAACUACGUACAUGCAGCAUGGUCAAGCAAUCUGCGCCUUAAAAAAGCUGGAUGCAGACCCGAACCUCUCUCUGUCUCUGCUCUCUGCUCCCUGCUCUGCUCUGCUCCCCCUGCCCAGGCCUGGCUCCCCUCUCUCUCCCCCACCUUUCCCUCCUAAUAAAGCUCUCUGUAACCCUGGUAGUUGUGGCCGUGGCUUGUGACUUUUCAACUGGUAACCAGCGCCAACACCAGCGCUGAUUAUCAUCCUUUCAGUGGUAUCAUUCAUUUCCUGAGUUUUCAUGGGUGCAGCUACUCCAUAGGUUGAAGUUGUCCUUCUAGUACCUUCUAUAAAGCUGGAUUUUUAGGUAGGUAUUGUUUAAAUUUGAUUUAUUGUGGAAUAUCUUAC